GUCUUCGUGGCUCAGUUGGUUAGAGCGUACGACUGUUACUUCUUGUGCAUCGUAAGGUCACAAGUUCGAGCCUUGUCGAGGACG
rnacentral:tRNA from 1 species